AUUGAACGCUGGCGGCAGGCCUAACACAUGCAAGUCGAGCGAGCGGCGGACGGGUGAGUAAUGUAUGGGGACUGCCCGAUAGAGGGGGAUAACUACUGGAAACGGUAGCUAAUACCGCAUACUAUCGGAUAACCCAUAUGGGAGUAGCUAGUAGGUGGGGUAAUGGCUCACCUAGGCGGCGAUCCCUAGCUGGUCUGAGAGUAGGAUCAGCGACAUGGGGACUGAGAAACGGCCCAGAGUCCUACGGAGGCAGCAGUGGGGAAUAUUGCACAAUGGGCGAAAGCCUGAUGCAGCCAUGCCGAGUGUAUGAAGAAGGCCCUAGGGUUGUAAAGUACUUUCAGUCGGGAGGCGUUACCGACAGAAGAAGCACCGGCUAACUACGUGCCAGCAGCCGCGGUAAUAC
rnacentral:rRNA from 1 species